CUAGUUGGUGAGGUAAUGGCUUACCAAGGCAUCGAUGGGUAGCCGGCCUGAGAGGGUGUACGGCCACAUUGGGACUGGGAUACGGCCCAGACUCCUACGGGAGGCAGCAGUGGGGAAUUUUGGACAAUGGGGGAAACCCUGAUCCAGCCAUGCCGCGUGCGGGAAGAAGGCCUUCGGGUUGUAAACCGCUUUUAGUCGGGAAGAAAGGGUUUCCUUGAAUACGGGAGAUCUAUGACGGUACCGGCGGAAUAAGCACCGGCUAACUACGUGCCAGCAGCCGCGGUAAUACGUAGGGUGCGAGCGUUAAUCGGAAUUACUGGGCGUAAAGAGUGCGUAGGCGGUUCUCCAAGUCCGUUGUGAAAGCCCCGGGCUCAACCUGGGAAUGGCAGUGGAAACUAGGGGACUUGAAUCUGGCAGAGGGGGGUGGAAUGCCGCGUGUAGCAGUGAAAUGCGUAGAGAUGCGGCGGAACACCGAUGGCGAAGGCAGCCCCCUGGGCUGAGAUUGACGCUCAGGCACGAAAGCGUGGGGAGCAAACAGGAUUAGAUACCCUGGUAGUCCACGCCCUAAACGAUGGCAACUAGGUGUUGGGGAAGCGAUUUCCUGGUACCGCAGCUAACGCGUGAAGUUGCCCGCCUGGGGAGUACGGUCGCAAGAUUAAAACUCAAAGGAAUUGACG
rnacentral:rRNA from 1 species